rnacentral:lncRNA from 1 species
UAAUAUCUAACAAUUCAAAGAUGUAAUCAUUUAUAUAAGUCUUCCAGAGAUAACAUGUACCCUUACACUAUAGUAUUCCACAAUUUUUUGUUCUCCUCCUUCCAUUUUAAAUUCUUGCAUUUCAAUAUCGUGGAUGAUUAAUUUUACCCUGUAAGAAGUGAAUUCGAACUGUAAAACUGGAAUAACCAAUGAAAUAAGUUUCCAUAUAUCAAAACUACACUGUAAAGAUGAUCGUAUUAGAAAGUUGCGACAUACAUUUACCACACAUAAAAUAAAAAGAUCUUGACUUGACGAAGCCCUCCGUGUAAGCUACUCCUCAACCCCUCGAUUUUUAACUAAUGGCUAAAAGAAUCGUUCAGUAACAGUAGGGUAAUGCUCACAAUGUGAAGUUCUAAAACUUCCAAAGAAAAAAUAUGUAGAAGAAGAAAUGAAAUGAGGUAAGCUUUUAGGAAAAUAUAGAAGUAUAAUGUACAAAUUAUCCUUUAAAAUGGCACCGCCCAAACCAGCAAAGCCCUUAAGUAUUCCCACAAGGGGACCUCGGCUUUUGGGGAAGUUUUGGACACAGGAAACGAGGGACGCUGUGUUGAAGUAUGUCUCGCCGUUCGUACCAACGAAGAUAAGGAUGCACAUCUGCCAGUAAAAGCGAUAAUCAUGUUUCGUUUUUUGUACAAGGCUUCAAAUAUCGUAUUACACGUUGUGAUUGCAGAUUGAAUGAAACAUCUGACCUUUGAUGAGAACAAUGGCAAAAACUAAAAAUCAAAUGUCUGAAAUCUUCUACAAUCCUAAAGAUGUGAUCUUUAAGGUAAAUUCAGCAGAUCAUAUUCAUCACAUAUAGAAAAAUAAAAAUAAAAAUUCCCAGAUCAAUAAUCACCAAUUAAUCAGCAAUCCCUGAAUAAUAAUAUUAAUAAUAAUAAUAUGCAUAUCUCUGGAUACAUCAUAUACAUUGACCAAAAGUAGUUGCAGACCAAUGAAUAAAAAAAAGGGUAAAAAAAUGAAGAAUAAAAAGAAAGAAAGAAAGAAUGGCACCCCAGGGGGAGGUGACGACAAGCCAAACCCAGCCAUAACCAACAAAAUUCUGAAUAGCCACUAAAUUCGGAAACUAAUACCCUAUUUGGAUUUGUAAGUCUGUAAACGUAAAUACGCACCGGUUAUCUUCCCCAUUGACUGCAAAAUGAGUCCUCAAGCCUCCAUCUUUUUC